rnacentral:lncRNA from 12 species
AAAGUGAGCAAAUUGCCUCAAAACUAGUAAGAAACUGUUCUGACUGCAAGAGUUUGAUUGAAACCCCUAUGCAGCUGUUACAGAAUGUGGCAGAGUGGCACAUUCAGCAUGCAGGGCUGGUGAGAGCAGCAGUGGUCAACAAAGCAGUGUCCAGCUUGAUUGGCAAAUUGGUGAGGUGUGUACCUCACAGCCACAGCUGCACCUUGGUGCCAGAAGUCAAUACCUGGAGCAGAACAGCAAGGAGCAGCUACGGUCAGAUCAAACCACAGUGAGUCCAAGUUUCAGUUCACUCCUUGAUAGUGGAAAUGCACAUUAAAGGAGUCACUGGGUGGCAGAU